CUUUAUUACUCUCUGCGGUGGCCAUUUCUGCUGCCAAGUAUGGCAUGGAGGAGAUGUCCCUUCAAGACGGUUAGACACAUAGUCUGCAGCAGAAUGCCAUUCAUGGAUAUGAUAGCUGCUGAAACGUUUGCUUAUUCCUACCGCAUGUAUCGCCGGGGCUCAAGCUGAUGGAGAAUUCUUCUCUACUAGACAAUGGUGCAUGACUCGUGAUUUACAUCCUAUUGCACAGAUCAAAUCACAUGGCAUGGGGAGUCCAUUACUGCUAGUGGAAGGCACUGGCAUUCAUAUGGCAAAGGGGAUAGAUGCAUGCCUUGUGUGGAGAGCACACCUUUGGGAACAAUAAUAUCAGCCACUGCAUGUGGUUAACAAGCUAUAAGAGACAGAAACAUCAUUCUUCAAAAGGAGACGAUUCUCUCCCUCGCCGCCAUUCUCAAGCCAUUCACAGCUUAAGGAAAUAUAAAAGGAAGUUAUUACUCCCUUGGUGUAAUUAUGUAAGUCUUUAAGUUGAACUCUAAAACAU
rnacentral:lncRNA from 1 species